AGGCGAGGCUGACCGAACAACGGCCCAUGCACGCUUUGUAGGAGGGACCCCGAGACUGUUGAGCACCUUUUCUUUCAGUGCAGAUAUACGUUGUGAGUCUGGGCUCUCUUGAAGGAUUGGCUCCAACUUGUUCAUGUUGAUACCUUGGCCUGGUCGGCGUUCGGAAGCAUCAGAGAAUGGUGGGUCGGCUUGGCAUCCAUCCAGAACAGCCAUAGAGGAGUGAUGCCUUUCAUCAUCAUGCUUGUCAGUAAGUCCAUUUGGGAUGAGCGGAACACACAUGUCUUUCUGGGACGCUCCUCUCUGACGUUUACCAUCCUCUACUUGAUCAAGAACGAGGCUAGGCUUUGGGCCCUAGCGGGUGCGGAAAAACUGGGCAACCUCAUGAUGGGAGAGUAA
rnacentral:rRNA from 1 species